AUGAUGCUGAUUAGAAGAGAAUGUCUCUUAUUUGUCAAUGAAUGAAUUAAACUGACGCCUGUUGGGUAUGGGGUUCCUUUUUGAUUAGCACUUAGUUUAUGUUUAAAGGCUUGUUUUUCACAGACAUUGCACGCAUGUCUCCCUCUCUCCAGACUGUAAGGACAGACAUCUGUGUGGAACACUCAGCAUUGUUGUCCACUCUGCUUCAGGACAUCAAGAGCCAGCCAGCUUGUACAUACGCCUUGAAGUGGAUGGGUACCAAUUCUUUGACAACACGGCCCAGACGCGUCCAUCUCUCAAUACCCUGACACCACAAUGGGAUGAGGAGUUCUCCUUGCUGGUGGAUGGUGCACAUUGCCUUCGACUACUUUGUGUGAGACAACCAGACAAACGGGAGGGGAUUAAGGGUUACAGAGUCCUGGAGAAGACCACUCAAGAGGUAAACCUACCUCCUCACAUUUGGACUCUAUAGAGGUAAACCCACCAUCUCACAUCUCUCCAGGAACUCCAGAUUGUCUAGCACUCUGCUGCCCGGCUCCUCACCCACACUCACUGCUAGCAGCAUAUCAAGCCCGUGGACCUGCACUGGCUCCCCAUUAAAGAAUGCAUCCACUUAAAGAUACUUCUCCUGACGUUCAAAGCUCAUAACAGCCAAGCCCCAUCAUACCUUUAUGAACUGCUUCUCCCCUACCAGCCUCCCAGCACUCUUACAUCCUCCUCUUCUGGCUCUCUCCUCACCCCCCCGUCCAAACUCCAUGGCUAUGGGGGCUGCGCAUUUUCCCAUUUUGCUCACCGACUUUGGAACUCCCUCCCCAGUGCCAUUCAUCUGUCGGUCUGUCUCAGAUUUCAAAACCAAGAUAAAAACCUUUGUUUGCUGAAGUGUUUAGCCUUCCUUAUCCAUGUUUUGUCAUUUUUUGUUUUCUUUUCUUU